UGUUGAGCAGCAGGGGCAGCAGGGUGUUUCAGUGGAGUUACUGAGGAAAAAGCUUCUUGAACUCCGUCACCCUUGGUGAGAAGCUGUCGGACAAGACAGAAGAGACUGGAGUGGAACUUCGAGGCAAGAGCCAAGAAGAAAAGUAGCAGCGUCGAGCUCAAGAGGGGGCACAACAGAGA